rnacentral:misc_RNA from 1 species
UUUCCGUAGGUGAACCUGCGGAAGGAUCAUUAAAAAUGAAGCCGGGAAACCGGUCCUUCUAACCCUUGAUUAUCUUAAUUUGUUGCUUUGGUGGGCCGCGCAAGCACCGGCUUCGGCUGGAUCGUGCCCGCCAGAGGACACAACUCUGUAUCAAAUGUCGUCUGAGUACUAUAAAAUAGUUAAAACUUUCAACAACGGAUCUCUUGGUUCUGGCAUCGAUGAAGACCGCAGC